AAAUACUUUUGAUAGCUUUAAUAUUUGUUUUGCAGAUGUGGUGUCGUCAUUAGAUGCUUCAAUGUUUUUAGUCCUCAGCAUCCAGAUAAUGCAGCUGAUCCUCCUGGAAGUGGAGAUCCACCUGUGGAAAUGAAAUAAGGUGCAUCAACAGGAGUUUGAAAUUUGGUGAUGUCAAAUAAGGUUUACUACAUUUCAGUUUCUUAUACUACGGGACGCCGCUAUAGAUAGUUAUAUGAUGCGGAUACAUGAUAGGCCCAUUUUGGAAAAAGACAUUGAUCAGUAAAAACUGAUAACUAGCUUAUAGCACGCUCGACUACUCGAAAACUCCUAAGUUAAACAAGGACUAUGGCUGGACAAGACUUGCAAAAUCGUCUUUUAAACUAUUACAAUUUAAUACAAAUUAUUUUUAGCUCCAAUAUUCAGAUAAUAGGGGGGACUAUACUACUCGCAUCGGCGUCGACGUCGGCGUGACCCUUCUUGGUUAAAGUUUUUGUUUUUCUGUCAUAUAUUUGUUAAUAUUGCUUAUAUCUUACUGUAACUUCACAUAAACAUUGUCAAGUAUGCUAUCAAAGUAUGUAUAGGGG
rnacentral:lncRNA from 1 species